AAAAUUCAGACUUUCUCGCCUUCUGUUAACUACUGUUUUCCUCUUCCUUCAAAAUAUACUAAACUCUGUCCUGAAUCUCAAUAAAAUUUAAGAUUUUUCUUUCAUAAUUUUGUGCGACAAAUGGGUGUUGCUGUCCUUAAUCCUCGGGACUGUCUCCAGAAUCCUUUGUCGUUCCGACAAGAUCUGAUAUCACCCCUCCCUCGCAUGAAA
rnacentral:misc_RNA from 1 species